CUGACUCCAUUUUAUGUCGACAGCAGAAGAACGAGGACUGAAAGCUGAAUGAGGUGAAGGUAGAAAGUGUGUGUGAGCUGAUGUGAAUUCAGCAGCAUGGAUCAGUGUGAGGACAGAGAGGAGGGAGUCCCUCCCUCUAAAACCACUCUGUGUGGGGAACAUGAGAGCCAGAGCAAAGAUCAGAGGAACACACCUGGACCUGGACCUGGACCUGGAC